GCAACAAUUAAGUUAUUUGUAGAAUGUGAUUGUGAUCACACAAUGUUAAUGUAGAGACUAUUCAGCUCAAUGCAGGAUUAUAUACAUGGUAACAAUCUUCAUGUAAUGUGAUAAUCAAAUCUUCCAUUAAUGCUGAUGCUGGCAGGUGUUUUAUUGUGGAGGAAGUGUCGGCAACAGGAAGAGAGGAGCAGUGAAGACAUGGGAUUCAGAGGAGGACCCCCCACACAUACACGCACUACUGCUGUCCCUUUUGUCUAAAUAAACUCUUAAUCAUUUAUUUCCUGCAUUUUUAUUGAACAUUUCAUAAUCCACUGUAACAUAACUCUAGCAGAUGAUUAUGACAUAACAUGAACAAAAACAGGAACCAAAGAUAUGGUCCAAGGAAACUAACAGCUCAGUCACUUUUGUCUCCUCCUUCAGAGGUCGCCUCAGCCAAUCAGCAUCAGCGCUUCACACAGGUGGUUUUUACGCCUUUAUAAUACUGACAUGGAACACCAGAUGUUCUAAAGUUUAUUCAUUUGAAUUACUAAAAAUGCUUAGUUCAACAUGAAAUUAGCAAAAAAGAAAACAAAGAAAAACUACAGAGAUUUCUAUUAAUCACAAACUUAAAAGAAUGGAGAGAAAAAAAGUUUCACCAAUUGUUCAAAUCAUUAUUUAUAAAUAUGUUUCAGUCUUUGAAAGGCAUGAAAUUCUCAGUUAUUAGAUUAAUUAUACGUUUUAAUUCCACAGAGAAAAUUGUCAAAUGUUUGUCAUUUGUAUAUUUACAUUUAUCAACACAAUAUUUGGCCAAAAUAAAAAAUAAGUUAAGAUUUUGUUGGUCUUCAAAGUC